UGGGGAAUUUUGGACAAUGGGGGAAACCCUGAUCCAGCCAUCCCGCGUGUGCGAUGAAGGCCUUCGGGUUGUAAAGCACUUUUGGCAGGAAAGAAACGUCAUGGGUUAAUACCCCGUGAAACUGACGGUACCUGCAGAAUAAGCACCGGCUAACUACGUGCCAGCAGCCGCGGUAAUACGUAGGAUGCAAGCGUUAAUCGGAAUUACUGGGCGUAAAGCGUGCGCAGGCGGUUCGGAAAGAAAGAUGUGAAAUCCCAGAGCUCAACUUUGGAACUGCAUUUUUAACUACCGGGCUAGAGUGUGUCAGAGGGAGGUGGAAUUCCGCGUGUAGCAGUGAAAUGCGUAGAUAUGCGGAGGAACACCGAUGGCGAAGGCAGCCUCCUGGGAUAACACUGACGCUCAUGCACGAAAGCGUGGGGAGCAAACAGG
rnacentral:rRNA from 1 species